CGAGAUUGUGCCACUGCACUCCAGCCUGGGCGACAGAGUGAGACUCCAUCUCAAAAAACAAAAACAAAAAGAAACAAACAAACAAAAACCAAGCUGUGACCCAGCCACCUUGGGCACAUGUUCUCAGGACCUCCUUAGGCUUUGUCAGGCCAUGGCCCUUGACCUUAGCAAAAGAAACCUAAGGUGAUGGAGACUUGUGUCAAAUACUUUUUGGUUUAUAGCCAUUUACCCUCUGACAGCAAGACGUGGCUGCUCCCAAGAGCUUAUCUUUUCCACUGUGCCAUCCUUCUCACCUUCCCCUCCUUUAGCCGGGCAGCAGGCAUGGGCUGGGGAACAGGUGACCUAGCUCAGCUACAUCCUAGGCUUGUGACUUAGGGUAAAUCCAUUAACUUUUUUUUUUUUUUUUUUUUAGAUGGAGUCUCACUCUGUUGCCGAGGCUGGAGUGCAGUGGCGUGAUCUCAGCUCACUGCAACAUCCACCUCACAGGUUCAAGCGAUUCUUGUGCCUCAGCCUCCCAAGUAGCUGGGAUUACAGGCAUGCACCACCACGCCAGCUAAUUUUUGUAUUUUUAGUAGAGACAGCAUUUCACUGUGUUGGCCAGGCUGGUCUCAAACUUCUGACGUCAAGUGAUCAACCCACCUCGGCCUCCCAAUGUGCUGGGAUUACAGGUGUGAGCCACCGUGCCCAGCCUAAAUCCAUUAACUUCUGUUUGGAUGCCCUGCCCAGCUCAGGCUACCAUCGGCAAACAAGAGAGGUGCUCCAGAAUUGAGGAAGCACUGGGCAAAAUGCAGGCAUGAUCGUUAACCUCUGUAAGUGGACCCAGGUUCAGCUACAUGAGCCAAACAUGAAAGAGACAGGUCUCACUCUGUCACCCAGGCUGGAGUGCAGUAGUGUGAUCAGAGCUCACUGCAGCCUUGAACUCCUGGGCUCAAGGGAUCCUCUCACCUCAGCCUCUCAAGUAGCUGGGACCACAGGUGCACACCACCAGGCCCAGCUAGAUUAGUCUUGAACUCCUGGCCUCAAGUGAUCCUCCCUCCUCAGACUCUCAAAGUGCUGGGAUUACGGGUGUGGGCCAUUGCGCCCAGCCUAAUUUAAGAUUUCAUGUGCAAAGUGCAGACCCACGAGGUCACAGGCACGGCUGUGAUAUCCAUUAUCCUGGACAGAAGCACCACAUUUUUCCCCAAGUGAUGUUUCCCCUUUGGAAAGCUUUGUCCACAGGGGA
rnacentral:lncRNA from 10 species